GAUAAUUUGGCAGAAAUUUAUGCUUAUGAUUUAGGUUCAUACUAUACUACAUUAGUAAUUAUCU
rnacentral:tRNA from 1 species